GCCAUGUCUCGGGAGAGGCCACCCCGUACCGACAUCCCCCGCAACCUCAGCUUCAUCUCAGCGCUCACAGAGCGCGCCUAUUACCGCAGCCAGCGACCCAGCCUGGAGGAGGAGCUGCAGCCGGAGGAGGAGGAGCCGGAGUCCCGAGAGGGGGGCGGAGCGCGCCUCAGGCCUCGCUCCCGCACCUUAGCCCCCGGGCGGGGCCGUCGGGCCCGCUCUGCCCCCGCUGGAGGGGGCGCCCGGGCCCCGCGCAGCCGCAGCCCGGACACCCGCAAGCGGGUGCGCUUCGCCGACGCUCUGGGGCUGGAACUGGCGGCCGUCCGCCGCUUCAGUCCCGGGGAGCUCCCUCGUGUGCCUCGCCACGUGCAGAUCCAGCUGCAGCGCGACGCCCUCAGGCACUUCGGGCCCUGUCCACCCAGAACUCGCACCCUCCAGGAGGCGCGCGCUGCCCUCGAGCCCGCCCGCGAGCCCGGCUUCGCCGCCCGCCUGCAGGCCCAGCGCAUAUGCCUGGAACGAGCAGAGGCGGGCCCGCUGGGCGUGGCUGGGAGCGCGCGCGUGCUGGACCUGGCCUACGAGAAGCGCGUGAGCGUGCGCUGGAGCGCGGACGGUUGGCGCAGCCAGCGCGAGGCUCCCGCCACCUACGUAGGUCCGGCUCCACCCCCGCCGCGUGCGGAUCGAUUCGCCUUCCGCUUGCCCGCCCCGCCAACCGGGGGCUCCUUGCUCUUCGCCCUGCGCUACCGCGUAACCGGCCUUGAGUUCUGGGACAACAACGGAGGCCGCGACUACGCACUGCGCGGGCUCGACUCCCCCGGCAGCGGUGGCGGCAGCGAUCCUGAACCCCAGGGCUGGAUCCACUUUAUCUGAGCGCGGAACGGGAAACCCAGGGAUCAGGAGAAAGUGUGGAAAACGGCGGGAGAAACCAAAGGAACUGGGGGUUGGGGGAAGCCACGAAUGCGGGAGUGGAAAUUAUGGGAGGUUGAUUGAUGGGACGGGAGGAGAUAAAGAGACGGUUUGCGCGCACGCGUAGGAGAAUGAGAGGAACUAAAAGUUAAGUCGAUGGGGAGGACGGAUGAAUCCAAUGGGAACGGGAAAUAUCGAAGAAGAGAACAAUGUGGAAGUGGAGGGCGAGUAGCUGUAGGAGGAAUGAAGCGGGAAACCUAGGUAUACCCUGGGGAAACAAAAGAACCAGGGAAUAAAGAUAUUUAGUGCUAUUCCGAGCAGGGUAAGGCAGGUCAUUUAUUAAUAGCCAGAAGGAAUCUUAGAAAUCAUGUAGUCAGAUCCCUUCAUUUUGUAGAUGAUGUUCUGAAGCUUUCAGAGGUGAAGUCACUUGCUUGAGAACCCACCAUUUCUGUCAGUGUCAGAGCCCAGAUUUGAACAAGUGUUGCCCACAUUUAGCAUUCUUGCUACUUGUAACAAAGUGGAUCAAAGGGGAGGAAUCUGGUGAAGCUUCACUUGUUUGGGUGGGACUCAAGUCGAGGGAAGAGUUCCAGAAGACAAAAAGUCCCCUUUAGACUUUCAAAGGAUCCCUGGAUAACUUUCUUUGCCAGUCCCACAAGUUGGGUGCUGAGAGAGAACUUUAAACUCUAGAAGGAAGUCAAACUCUCAGCUCUAGGGAGUCAUUGCAGUUUUCUAUCUGGGGUUAUCCAGUCCUGCUUCCAAAUACCAUUAAUUUGGUUAGAUCAUUAGGGCCACGUCUUGAAUUCCCUUUGGAGUAAUCUGGUCAAUUGUCUGCCUCCUGGAGCUUCCAACUUCGGGCAGCCCUGCUGAUUAUUUUCUUGAGGCUUCAGUUUUUUGUCUCUGGAAAUUUGAGAAGGCAGGCUGCAUCCAGUCCUCAUAUCUCAAAAGAGACUGAAAACAUCCAGACCUUCUGUACCAGUCUUGCUUUUCUGGUUUGUAAAGAUCUCAAAGUAUAUUUUAAAUAUCUCUGUUUCAGGGGGAGGCAUUGGAUGAAGAGAAAAUAAUUGUCCCCAUUUUACAGAAGAGUAAAUAGGAAAAGGGAUCCUUCACAGUCAUAGUUUAAAAAAAAAAAAAAAAGGUUAUACUGGAUAAUAUUGUGUGAAUGAAGAGCUUGCUUGCUGUCCUCCCUGAAUCAGCCAUUUGCCCUCUUCUGUUCCCAGAACCCCCUCUUGGAAGUCUUCCAGAGGAGAGGUGGGAAGAAGGCAAACAGCAGUUUCUUCUUGUGACCCAGAUGAACUGUUUUCCCAGGUAAUCAGCUUUUUUCCCUCUCCACUUUCUUUGGGUUCUGAUAAUUUGGGGGAUUUAUUGAUAUAUCUUAUCAGCCUUUUGCAUUAGGAAGGAAGGAUUGUAGGUUCUGAUCAGAAUAGAAGCUGCAAACCUUUUGGUUUCUCCAGCCAACUUUGUGUUCCUCUGAGUAGUGGUCAAGAAGAAAUGACAUAUUUGUAAAAACACAAUUCACAGCCAACCUUAUUUAGCCAUACAUAGAUCAAUGGAAAACAUGUUGGAGAAAGGGGUAGAAAACAGGAGAAAGGGCAAGAUCAAUAAGGACCAGGCACAUUUGAUACGAUUUCAUAUAUGUUGCAUUCUAUACGCAGAUAGUCUUUGGUUCUGAUUUCCCUACAUUACUGCUCCUCCAUGUUAUCUCCGAGACAUGGCUUGAAGAGAUCAAAGGACAAAGGGAGUAAGUGAAACUAUGGGGCUGCUCCUUAUGAACCCCAGCUUCUACCACCUCUCAAUCAGGUGGAGUAUUAGUACAUGUAUGUUGCAUGAAUGAGACUUCCACAAUUUGCAAGGAAUAUUCCUAUAAAUAGUCUUAGUACUUUCCUGCCUAAUAGGAUCCAAAGCUAUGUUAAUAGGAGGGCAAGAAAAGGCUACAUACUAGAAGACAAGUGCACUGAAGACCCCUUUAGAAGGCUUCAUAUGGCUGGGUAAGUGCAAGGCUUGAAUGAGCAUGAAAGGACCUUAAUCGACUUGAGCUCCCUCCUACAAGUGCUCUCUUUAGAUCAGGUUAAAUGGGUCAUUUAGAAUUCUAAGAUGAUGAGCAAAUGUACCUGUGCCUCCUCAAAACACCCACUCAUAAUACAUGUGGUCAUGAACUGAAUUGAUGACUCAAUUUCUCCUUAACCAGGCUAGCCUUAACAUUUCUGAGGUUGCUGUACAUUUCUAGACAGUAUGGUGUGGACCCCAAUGUUUUAAAACUCUUGAGAGGGCUUAAUGUGUAGAGGCUGCUUUGGGUUAUGCUGUUCGCAGCCUCAGCAUUAAAAUGUGAACUACCA